GUAGCUCAGUGGUAGAGCACUUGCCUUGCAUGCGUGAGGCCCUGGGUUCAAUCCUCAGC
rnacentral:tRNA from 1 species